UUGGGGAGUAGCCAAGCUGGUAAGGCAGCGGACUUUGGAUCCGCCAUUCGCUGGUUCGAAUCCAGCCUCCCCAGCCAA
rnacentral:tRNA from 1 species